rnacentral:rRNA from 1 species
GAUGAACGCUGGCGGCGUGCCUAAUACAUGCAAGUCGAGCGAAUGGAUUAAGAGCUUGCUCUUAUGAAGUUAGCGGCGGACGGGUGAGUAACACGUGGGUAACCUGCCCAUAAGACUGGGAUAACUCCGGGAAACCGGGGCUAAUACCGGAUAACAUUUUGAACCGCAUGGUUCGAAAUUGAGAGGCGGCUUCGGCUGUCACUUAUGGAUGGACCCGCGUCGCAUUAGCUAGUUGGUGAGGUAACGGCUCACCAAGGCAACGAUGCGUAGCCGACCUGAGAGGGUGAUCGGCCACACUGGGACUGAGACACGGCCCAGACUCCUACGGGAGGCAGCAGUAGGGAAUCUUCCGCAAUGGACGAAAGUCUGACGGAGCAACGCCGCGUGAGUGAUGAAGGCUUUCGGGUCGUAAAACUCUGUUGUUAGGGAAGAACGAGUGCUAGUUGAAUAAGCUGGCACCUUGACGGUACCUAACCAGAAAGCCACGGCUAACUACGUGCCAGCCGCCGCCGUAA